CAUGCAAGUCGAACGGCAGCAUGAUCUAGCUUGCUAGAUUGAUGGCGAGUGGCGAACGGGUGAGUAAUACAUCGGAACGUGCCCUGUAGUGGGGGAUAACUAGUCGAAAGAUUAGCUAAUACCGCAUACGACCUGAGGGUGAAAGUGGGGGACCGCAAGGCCUCAUGCUAUAGGAGCGGCCGAUGUCUGAUUAGCUAGUUGGUGGGGUAAAGGCCCACCAAGGCGACGAUCAGUAGCUGGUCUGAGAGGACGAUCAGCCACACUGGGACUGAGACACGGCCCAGACUCCUACGGGAGGCAGCAGUGGGGAAUUUUGGACAAUGGGCGAAAGCCUGAUCCAGCAAUGCCGCGUGUGUGAAGAAGGCCUUCGGGUUGUAAAGCACUUUUGUCCGGAAAGAAAUGGCUCUGGUUAAUACCUGGGGUCGAUGACGGUACCGGAAGAAUAAGGACCGGCUAACUACGUGCCAGCAGCCGCGGUAAUACGUAGGGUCCAAGCGUUAAUCGGAAUUACUGGGCGUAAAGCGUGCGCAGGCGGUUGUGCAAGACCGAUGUGAAAUCCCCGAGCUUAACUUGGGAAUUGCAUUGGUGACUGCACGGCUAGAGUGUGUCAGAGGGGGGUAGAAUUCCACGUGUAGCAGUGAAAUGCGUAGAGAUGUGGAGGAAUACCGAUGGCGAAGGCGGCCCCCUGGGAUAACACUGACGCUCAUGCACGAAAGCGUGGGGGAGCAAACAGGAUUAGAUACCCUGGUAGUNCCACGCCCUAAACGAUGUCAACUAGUUGUUGGGGAUUCAUUUCCUUAGUAACGUAGCUAACGCGUGAAGUUGACCGCCUGGGGAGUACGGUCGCAAGAUUAAAACUCAAAGGAAUUGACGGGGACCCGCACAAGCGGUGGAUGAUGUGGAUUAAUUCGAUGCAACGCGAAAAACCUUACCUACCCUUGACAUGCCACUAACGAAGCAGAGAUGCAUUAGGUGCUCGAAAGAGAAAGUGGACACAGGUGCUGCAUGGCUGUCGUCAGCUCGUGUCGUGAGAUGUUGGGUUAAGUCCCGCAACGAGCGCAACCCUUGUCUCUAGUUGCUACGAAAGGGCACUCUAGAGAGACUGCCGGUGACAAACCGGAGGAAGGUGGGGAUGACGUCAAGUCCUCAUGGCCCUUAUGGGUAGGGCUUCACACGUCAUACAAUGGUGCAUACAGAGGGUUGCCAAGCCGCGAGGUGGAGCUAAUCCCAGAAAAUGCAUCGUAGUCCGGAUCGUAGUCUGCAACUCGACUACGUGAAGCUGGAAUCGCUAGUAAUCGCGGAUCAGCAUGCCGCGGUGAAUACGUUCCCGGGUCUUGUACACACCGCCCGUCACACCAUGGGAGUGGGCUUUACCAGAAGUAGUUAGCCUAACCGCAAGGAGGGCG
rnacentral:rRNA from 1 species